rnacentral:misc_RNA from 1 species
CAACAGGAUCGAUGAUUUGGAGAAAAACAUCGCUGACCUGAUGACGCAGGCGGGUGUCGAGGACCGAGCGUAAUCCCAGCAUUCCAUCAUUACUUCCUGUGUGGUUUAGCGUGUGUGCCUUAGGGAUCAGUAUACAUUUUUGCACCUAUCAAGGAAACAUCUUGCCGUUUGGUUGAAAAAGAAAUCUCAUGAAUGCAAUAUGGGUCUAACUCUAAACUGUGACAUUAUACAUUGUCAUAAUUUGGCUUAGUGUGUUGGCAUAAUUUUUAGUACUGUAAAAGUUGCAAUGGAAAGGAUGUUUGUAUAAGUUUAAUCAAAGAGAACAAAUUCAUCCUGUUUGUUAUUUUCUCUUACAAUUGUGAUAAGUGUAAUAUUAUUUAUUGACUGUAUUCUGUUUUUAUUGGUGUCAAUUAAUUUCACAAAUAAAUUAUAGUUUUAUAC